GCUGCUCCUCUCAGUGUCCUCCACCAUUUGUCUUGCAGCCUGCCUUCUACUCACCACUAACAGCAGCUAUAGGUUCCUGAGAACGUACAAUAGGCUGGAUGCUGGAAUCAUCUCCCUCACCAUCAUCUUCCUCAUCCUCAGGAUUAACUCACUGACCCCAAACGACAGCUCCAUGAGGGAUGGGAUCAUGUGACGUGGGGCUGGAAAAUCUGAAGUCCAGAGGGCAGCCCAGCACCUGCAAACCCUCAGAUGGUUUCUACCUUCUUCAAGAGUCCAGCACCCAGGCAGGUGUUCCUACUGGCUCCGGAGGGGCAGCGCUGGGUGUGCACGGGCAGAGGCUUGGCUUAGCUCUGCUGGCGGGCACGAUCUCCUUCACAGCCUGGACUUUCCUGGCUCAUCCACUCGUGCUCACCCUGGGAACACUCCUCUGACAGACCCUGCUGAGCCCAGCACCCCCCAGCCAGGUGCCAGACCUGCAAGGGGCCCCAGGUGACUCCACAUCCAGCUGUCCAGGUGCCCUCACCUCCCGAUCUCCCCACCUGAGGCUCCAGACACCAUGAGGUGGAGACAAGCCAUCUCCAUUGUGUCCUGUGUUCCUGACCUGCAGAAUCUGAGAGUGCAGUGUCCCCAUCCAUGUGUGCCACUGCGGGUGGGGCUGUUUGUUACAUAGCAGUGCAACUGAAGCAAGCCUCUGCUCAGGAGAAGAGGAGGCUCAUUGACAAGCCCUUAGCCCCGAUGCCAGUGGUUUUGCAUCUUGGACAUCAUAGGAGUCGGUGACUGAUGGUGCAGAACCACUGAUCCAGACUAGUUCUGCCCAUUUUCCUGUUUUCUGGCAACCACAUUCAGACAAGGAAGGAGAACCAGGUGAGACUAAUUUAAUGCUAUGUUUUGUAUAACUCGG
rnacentral:lncRNA from 1 species